CCGCCUCACCGGCCAGUAUAGAGCGUAGAGUCUUGCUCAGAGCCCAGCGUAGCCUAGUUGAAGCUGGGCGGUACUGUGACUGCCAAGAGAAGUAUGUAGCUGGACACAGAGGCUCCCAUAACCAAGGUUCACAGCCUAUCACCAUGACCAAUGGCUUCUGUCUACUUAUGUGUACACGAUAUGUGAUAGUUAAGUGAAGAAGCGGUUAGGAACAGCAUCAGAACACGCAAGAUGUUCCUCAGGAGGGAGUCUUCCCUCAGCACCAUCACAGAGGUUGACAGUAACAUCUCCACACCUUCACAGGAGAGACGGUUUUCGAAGCACAGUGAUACCGUCGCUCCCAGCGCCCUUCAACCUGGGGAUCGCCCCAGCCACCCUGGGGAUCGCCCCAGCCACCCUGGGGAUCGCCACCUCCAUCCUGGGGAUCGCCCCAGCCAUCCUGGGGAUCGCCCCAGCCAUCCUGGGGAUCCCCACCUCCAUCCUGGGGAUCACCAGGGAAUAUUUGCUAUUAGUAACUCAGCGAAGCUGGGACAUGGGAACUCCUCCCUCAAGGUGGGGGAAAGCGCCGGUCAUACUGCUGAAGAAACCAGUGAGGGUUGGGGAGUGCGACACACCCUGGCGGUGGUCUCAUGCCUGGGUGUGGCCAUACAGUACACCAUGAGGAUGAACUUGUCCAUCGCCAUCGUUCCCAUGGUGGGUAAACGCGUCUCCAACACCACCCUCGACGACACCUGUCCUCUCCCGGAUAACGGAGGUGGUAACGACACUUCCGGCGACACCGGUCUUACGGAAGGGGACUUCGACUGGAACGAGCAGACCCAAGGACUGGUACUGGGGUCGUUCUUCUUGGGGUACGCUACCACGCAGAUCUUAGGGGAAAGGGCGGCGGAGUACUUCGGAAGCCGCAUUGUCUUUGGCCUGAGCGUCUUCCUCAGCUCCGUCCUCACCCUCCUGAACCCUGUCUGCGCCUGGGCCUCCCUGGAGCUCUUUAUCUUCAUCAGGAUCGUGCAGGGGGCUAUUCAGGGGGUCACCUUCCCGGCCUUGUCUCAUCUCCUGGCUACCUGGCUCCCGCCUAAGGACAAGGCCAAACUCGUCUCCAUCAUGUACUCAGGGACGCAGGUGGGCGUGAUUGUGGGCUCUGUGGGAAGUGGGUGGUUAUGUCACUCGGAGUUCCUGGGAGGGUGGCCCUCCACCUUCUACGUGUUCGGAGUGGUAGGCUUGACGUGGUGCGUGCCCUGGUUCCUCCUCGUCCACGACACUCCCAGGCAUCACCCCAGGAUCUCUUCCGCCGAGCUAACCUACAUCCAGUCCAAUGAGGAUUCUCUUGUCACACGUAAGAUUAAAAUGAUCCCAUGGAAGGCGAUCAUGACGUCUCGUCCCAUGUGGGCGGCCAUAAUGUGUGCCGUGGGCGCCAACUAUUACUUCUACACCUUCCUCACUGAGCUGCCUUCCUACUUCAGCAACAUUCAACACUUCAAGAUAGCCCAGAGCGGCUUGGUGGCCUCGCUGUCCUCUCUAGCACUGAUCAUCGUGGCUGUAAUAUGGGGUACGCUGAUGGAGGCACUAACGAAGCGACGGGUGCUGUCCGUCCUGUCUGUGAGGAGGCUCUCCAUGGCCCUGGGAUACAUCUCUUCCGUACUCCUGUUGACCGCGUGCUUCGUCAAGUGUGACCCCACCAUGGCCGCCGUCGUCAUGAUCCUGGCGAUGGGCAUCAGCGGGACCUCCUACAGCGGUGGACGCCUCAUCGAGCAGGACAUCGCGCCCAACCUAGCCAGCACCUUGGUGGGCUUCAACAACACCAUCGCUGCCAUCACAGGCUUCCUCUCACCCGUCAUCGCCGGUGCCAUCACCAACAACAACCAAACUGUGAGCGGGUGGAACACGGUGUUCAUCGUGGCUGGCGCCCUCAGCAUCUUCACUACCACCAUCUCCAUGAUCUUCAUGUCAGCCGAGGUGCAGCCUUGGAAUACCCCUCCGCCGGAGCAAGGUACACGCACCGUAUCCAUCACUCAAUAGUGAUACAGUGUGAUACAUGUUGGGAGCGCGCAACAUGCUUCGCACACUAAAUCUUAGGAGAGGUGUGUCAACGCUGCCAGAGAAGAGAGAAGGUACCAGCACAGGGAAAGAAGCACUCCAAUAACCUCUCGUUUGCCUGGGGCAGCUGCCUGCGCUACUAUACAAUGCUGUAACCUCCUUAGUGUAUUACUGUAUUUAUAAUAUUCCUGCGUCCAAUAACCACUACUACUACUGGCCAGCAACAGCCUAUGGUCAAUAUUAUCCAAAAAGAUUCCUGAGAAGACAAUUGAUGUCAAGAGUGACUUACUACGAGAGUAUAUAAUGUGUAUAAAACAAAAUGUUCUAAUUUUCGUCAAGUUAGGAUACAAUAUUUAAAAAAAAAGAGUAGAAAUGGCGAAGAAUGACUACAGUGUACUCCUGGGACCCUGUGUGGACCCAACGUGCCCUGGUUGGCUGGCAGCGAGUUUCAUGCUUAUGAAAUAAAAGGCUUUAUGUGGUUUUCUCUUAUACUGGUUGAUGGGAUACUGGCGUAUUUAUGUCAGCUAAGCGCGUUUUUCCUGAUAACUAUCUAACCUUAACUAUCCCAGCUGCUGCUGCUUGGGGUUUGACGGUUGAUGGUGAAAAAGUCACAUAUAAAUGUUAAAUGUUUUCCAGCACUUUAAAAAUGUAAGUCAGACCAAAGAAGCAAUUAUUAAAUCGCCAAAGAAGCAAUUAUUAAAAUCGCUAAGAUUAUAUGCAUGGUUUAUAUAUAGCGUUUUAAUAAGUAAUUAUAUAUGUACCAUAUAUACCAUAUAUCUUUGUUUAUAUAGGCUAUCACAACGAAGAUCUAGACUAGAGAAAUUCAAAAUUUAGGCCUCAGAAUUAUACUUGGGUGACUGAUAAAGAAUUCCAAGAACUCGAGUAGUUUAAGUUAUGGGAAGAGAACUAGGUAUAUACCUAGCAUUCACGUACGUAUGUAUGUAUGUCAUACAUGCAUACAUAUACAUUUCACACUAGUGUUCAUCACUUGCCUCGUGUGUAUUUACACUAGUUAUAAAUGAAUGAUAAUGCUAUAGCUGUAAUUCAGGCUUGUGUGAUCACUCAACCACUGUACCCACCGACACCACUGGCUGGUAAACAGCCUCCAGCGCAAGAGGAACACUGACAAAGGAAUCUCUUCGACUAAAGCCUCAGUAAGCAGGAAGAUUCUUCAGAGUAAUCCCUGGCAUGCAGCAGCCUUACCAAGCUAGGCUGCGCAUAUUCAACCCGCAAGAUCCCUUACACUCUUUCAUAUUAUUUUUACAUAAAACGAAGAAACUGAACAACAUUCUUUUAAUAUCCAGCAUAAAAAAAUAUCCCUUUCCUACCAGGUGAAUUUCUUUUAAACAAUUUUCCAAUUUUCCUUUUAGUGACACAAAUAAUGGGCCACGUUAUAUUAACUACGAAAUAUUGUUGACCAGACCACACACUAGAAGGUGAAGGGACGACGACGUUUCGUCGGCUGGAUUAACGAGCUUGGAUAUUUGUAUGUCAAAUAUCCCUCAUUAUUCUUGAUGAUUUUGUAUCCAGUUGGAUUUUGCACCUCAGUAAUGUUUUAGCAUUUACGGCUUCGGCGGGUAGGCGGUUCCAUGGGUUGAUGGUGCCCUAUGAACUCUUGGGGGACUCCAGUCCUCCAAUGAAGUUACCAGUGUGUUGACAGACAUGAGUCCUUACCAUAUGAGCCUUCAUUCACGUUUUCAAUAUGUUGGGUGUGGUGAUAGGUUUAAUUUAGGUCUGUCAACCGCAGGAGGGUUAUUAAGUUAUCAAUGAAUGUCAUUGACAUGUAAAAGUAUAGUUAAGGCUACCACAAUAUUUUACUGACCAGGACUAAAGUAAAUUCUCAAGUGUGUAUAUACCAAUAAACUGUUUACAGCU
rnacentral:misc_RNA from 1 species